UGAAGGGUGUUUUGGUGAUAGGUGAGUGGAAAUAAGGUUUAUGGAAGGUUUUAGGUAGUGGGGUUUUCAGUUUUAAUGGAGGUUAGAAGGUUUUUGAGAGAAAGAGAGUAAGAGUGAUGAGAGAGAAUAAUGAGUGGGUAAUGAAAAAUCUGAUAAUGAUAAGGUUAAUGGGGAAAAGUUAUGGUUAAUGGUGGAUUAAGUGGGUGGGUCCCACGAAAAAUUCAAAUUUUC
rnacentral:lncRNA from 1 species